rnacentral:lncRNA from 1 species
GUGGCACGACUCACCAACACCCCUAGAGAUCCACUGGCAAAAUUUUUGCUUCCUGUUCCCAUGACAUUAUAUUUUGCUGGCCUAAAGGUCUUAGUUCCAGAGGGAGAAACACUGCCGCCAGGAGACACAACAACGAUUCCAUUCAAUUAGAAGUUAAGAUUGCCACUUGGACACUUUGGGCUUCUCCUACCUUGAAGUCAACAGGCUAAGAAGAGAGUUACUUGGCUGGGGCGAUUGACCCAGAUUAUCAAGAUGAAAUCAGUCUACUACUCCACAACUGAGGAAGCCAAGCCACACUGCUAACUGAUGAGAGACCAGCUUGAAAGAGGGAGGACCUGCCAAUUGCCAUCAGCACAACUCCAGAUAUAUGGGAGUCAGGCUUUAGGGCAAAAACCGGGGAUCACAGAAUGCUUGCUCAAUCAACUUUGCUCAUCCAAAAUCACAAAAAUCGCCUCAAAAAAUGUUGAUGAUAAUUUAAUUUUCUUCACUCUCCAUGAAGAUGUUAGAUAAUGCUCACUCUGGGUGAGAAUAAAAGCCAGACUCAUCAAAAAAAAAAAAAAA